rnacentral:rRNA from 1 species
AUGAAAGAUCAGGUCUGCCUGGACCUGGACGGCUUCCUGCUCGACCAUGAGUUUCUGGAGGACUACGGCCUCGAGGAAGAGGAUGAGUUGGACAUCGACGGGGAGCCUUUGUUCGAGGACGAGCUCGCCAACCAAGCCGCCGGGGCGAAGCCGAAGCGCAAGAGCAAGCGGACGAAGGCAUACAUGGCAGUUGAGGACAAGCUCCUUUGUGAGUGUUGGAGGGACAUUGGGCAAGACCCGACGGUCGGCGCCGAACAAAAGGCAUCAACCUUUUGGAUUCGUGUCCAUCGUGAGUUCCAUGAACACAAGAAGUUUGCACUGUACCAAAUGCAUAGCAGCAUGGGUGGGAGUCCAUUUCGAAGCGAUGGAGGGUGA